AAUCUUCACAAUGCGCGCAAGCGUGAUGAGGGAAUCCCAGGUGCCCUUGCACUGCAAGGGCUUUUGUGGAGUGUAAAAAGCUCUACGAAUAAGGGCUGGGCAAGACCAGUGCCAGCCGCCGCGGUAACACCGGCGGCCCGAGUGGUAACCGUCUUUAUUGGGUUUAAAGGGUCCGUAGCCGGCUUAUUAAGUCUUUUGGGAAAUCUGGCGGCUCAAUCGUCAGGCGUCCAAGAGAUACUGGUAG
rnacentral:rRNA from 1 species